rnacentral:rRNA from 1 species
GUGAAUCAUCGAGUCUUUGAACGCAUAUUGCGCUCUUUGGUAUUCCGAAGAGCAUGCUUGUUUGAGUAUCAGUAAACACCUCAACACUCUUUAUCGAUUUGUUUCGACUGGGAGUAUUGGAUUUGAGCAAACCCAACGCCUUUCUGCUAGCCAGACUUGCGGCGGGUUGCUUGAAAUGCAGGUGCAGCUGAGUUUUCUUCUGAGCUAAUAGCAUACUUAAUUAGUCCCGUAAAAAGGAUUAUUAAUCUGCUGAAGCUUACACCAAAGGAAGAGUUCUCUGGCUGACUGAUGCAGAAUUACACAUGGCCGGUAAAACGGCUUUGUAAACUCGAUCUCAAAUCAAGUAAGACUACCCGCUGAACUUAAGCAUAUCAAUAAGCGGAGG